AUUGAACGCUGGCGGCAUGCCUUACACAUGCAAGUCGAACGGUAACAGGCCUUCGGGUGCUGUCGAGUGGUGACGGGGUGAGUAAGGGUUAGGAACGUGUCCAGAGGUGGUGGAUAAGGGAGCAAAACCUGUGCUAAUACCGCAUGUCAGCUGAGAAUUGAAACGGGGGACCACGCAGGAAUGUUAGGCCUUGCGCCUUUGGAACAGCCGAUGUCAGAUUAGGUAGUUGGUGGGGUAAAGGCCUACCAAGCCGACGAUCUGUAGCUGGUCUGAGAGGACGACCGGCCACACUGGAACUGAGACACGGCCCAGACUCCUACGGGAGGCAGCAGUGGGGAAUUUUGGACAAUGGGCGCAAGCCUGAUCCAGCAAUGCCGCGUGAGGGAAGAAGGCUUUCGGGUUGUAAAACGCUUUUGUACGGAAAGAAAAGGCUCUGGCUAAUACCUGGGGGUGAUGACGGUACCGAAAGAAUAAGCACCGGCUAACUACGUG
rnacentral:rRNA from 1 species